rnacentral:rRNA from 1 species
AGUGAACGCUGGCGGUAGGCCUAACACAUGCAAGUCGAACGCCAGCACAGUAAGAGCUUGCUUUUACGGGUGGCGAGUGGCGGACGGGUGAGGAAUACAUCGGAAUCUACUUUUUCUUGGGGGAUAAAGUAGGGAAACUUACGCUAAUACCGCAUACGACCUACGGUUGAAAGCAGGGGAUAUUCGUACCUUGCGCGAUUGAAUGAGCCGAUGUCGGAUUCGCUAGUUGACGGGGUAAAGGCCCACCAAGGCGACGAUCCGUGGCUGGGAUGAGAAGGUGAGCAGGCAGACUGGAACUGAGAGACGGUCAAGACUCCAACGGGAGGCAGCAGUGACGAAUACUGGAGGAUGCGCGGAAGCCUGAUCGAGCCAGACCGCGUGGGUGAAGAAGGCCUUCGGGUUGUACAACGCUGUUGUUGGGAAAGAAAAGCGGCAGGAGAAGACCCCGAUGUACUGACGGUACCCACAGAAUAAGCAACGGCUAACUUCGUG